AUGUGACAGUGGAAUGAUCUGACAAACAGAUGAAUCUUUAUAUAAAGCGAUGACUGUUCCCUCUCUCAUCCCUCAUCCUCCUCUUUUCUCUCUCUCUCUGUAGGAGCGAGCCAGUCUGGAGGUGGAGAGGGCCCGGGUUGAGGAGCUGAGGAGUAGGUUGGAGGAGAAGGAGACACUGAUCCCCAGUCAGCCAGAGGGCCAGAGAGAGCAUCUACUGGUCCAACUACAACAGGAGAAAGAGAUGGUGGAUGCAGCCUGCCGGGUGUUCGAGGACUGGGAAUUCCGUGUCCUGGAGAGCGAGGCCGGAAUAGAGGAGGAGGAGAGCGAAGGAAAGAUAGAAGGGAAGGAGAGAGGGAACGACGAAGAGAAGGAGAAGGAGAUCUCAUGCCAAAAGCAUGCUGUCAACUCAGCGCAGGAGCGAGUCCAGCAGCUUGAGAAGCAGUUGAAGGAGAUGGAGAGAGAGAAGGAGAGAGAGAUGAAUGCCUUGAGGA
ensembl:lncRNA